rnacentral:rRNA from 1 species
UACGUAGGGUGCGAGCGUUAAUCGGAAUUAUUGGGCGUAAAGGGUGCGCAGGCGGCUUCGCAAGUCAGGCGUGAAAUCCCCGGGCUUAACCUGGGAACUGCACUUGAAACUGCGAUGCUGGAGUAUGGCAGAGGGAGGUGGAAUUCCACGUGUAGCGGUGAAAUGCGUAGAGAUGUGGAGGGACACCGAUGGCGAAGGCAGCCUCCUGGGCCAAUACUGACGCUCAUGCACGAAAGCGUGGGGAGCAAACAGG